rnacentral:rRNA from 1 species
AGUUGAUUAUGGCUCAGAUUGAACGCUGGCGGGCAGGCCUAACACAUGCAAGUCGAACGGUAACAGGAAGAAGCUUGCUCUUGCUGACGAGUGGCGGACGGGUGAGUAAUGUCUGGGAAACUGCCUGAUGGAGGGGGAUAACUACUGGAAACGGUAGCUAAUACCGCAUAACGUCGCAAGACCAAAGAGGGGGACCUUCGGGCCUCUUGCCAUCGGAUGUGCCCAGAUGGGAUUAGCUUGUUGGUGGGGUAACGGCUCACCAAGGCGACGAUCCCUAGCUGGUCUGAGAGGAUGACCAGCCACACUGGAACUGAGACACGGUCCAGACUCCUACGGGAGGCAGCAGUGGGGAAUAUUGCACAAUGGGCGCAAGCCUGAUGCAGCCAUGCCCGCGUGUAUGAAGAAGGCCUUCGGGUUGUAAAGUACUUUCAGCGGGGAGGAAGGGAGUAAAGUUAAUACCUUUGCCCAUUGACGUUACCCGCAGAAGAAGCACCGGCUAACUCCGUGCCAGCCGCUGC